GACGUAGGGCGCGAGCGUUGUCCGGAUUUAUUGGGCGUAAAGAGCUCGUAGGCGGUUCGUCGCGUCAACCGUGAAAACCUGUGGCUCAACCACAGGCCUGCGGUUGAUACGGGCGGGCUAGAGUUCGGUAGGGGAGACUGGAAUUCCUGGUGUAGCGGUGAAAUGCGCAGAUAUCAGGAGGAACACCGGUGGCGAAGGCGGGUCUCUGGGCCGAUACUGACGCUGAGGAGCGAAAGCGUGGGGAGCGAACAGGA
rnacentral:rRNA from 1 species